UACGGAGGGUGCGAGCGUUAAUCGGAAUUACUGGGCGUAAAGCGCGCGUAGGCGGUUUGGUAAGCUGGAUGUGAAAGCCCUGGGCGUCAACCUGGGAACGUAGCAUCCACGAACUAGCCAACGCUAGAGUAUGGUAGAGGGCGAUGGAAUUUCCGGUGUAGCGGUGAAAUAGCGUAGAGAUCGGAAGGAACACCAGUGGCGAAGGCGACUGCCUGGACCAAUACUGACGCUGAGGUGCGAAAGCGUGGGGAGC
rnacentral:rRNA from 1 species